rnacentral:misc_RNA from 1 species
AACAACAGCCUUUGCAAUCCUGUAAAUGUCAGUGUAGCUGACAGUAUUGGAUAUGUUGUCUGUUUUACCAGCUUCGUUUAAAUCUAACCAGGCGUCCACAUCUAUCAAGAAUUUCUGACCAAGCUUCUUCUCCUCGGGUUUCACCCCGUGAAAUCCAUGAAACUGCAGUCCCCUUAAUAUCAGCUUGUCUUUGUUCGAGAA